rnacentral:lncRNA from 1 species
UUAUAAUUUUUUAAAAUUUCAAUCUUCUUUGUUAUUUUUUAUUAUAAAAUUUAAAAUAUAUAAAUAAUUGUUAAAUAGUUUAGACUAUUGGUAUUGAAUAUAAAUGUUAAUUUUUAUAAUAUUGAGAAUUCUAAUAUAAAUUGUAUAUUUAAAAAUUAAAAAAAAAAUUGAUGGAAUUUAAGUUAAUUUUAUACUUUACAAAAGUUAGUUGUGAAAUCAUAUAAAAUACAUUAACUUAGUACGCACUAGAUGCAAGAAAAAACUUUUCUUUUUAUUUCACUAACUAAUGAGAAAUUCCUCCAUCCUUAGACAUGUGGCAGAGAGGGUGGAGGCGCGGGCGCGAGGCGCGAGAGGGCGCUGGCACGAGCAUAUAGAAAAAAAAUUAUAAUUUUUUAAAAUUUCAAUCUACUUUGUUAUUUUUUAUUAUAAAAUUUAAAAUAUAUAAAUAAUUGUUAAAUAGUUUAGACUAUUGGUAUUAAAUGUAAAUGUUAAUUUUAUAAUAUUGAGAAUUCUAAUAUAAAUUGUAUAUUUAAAAAUUUAAAAACAAAGAUUGAUGAAAUUUAAGUUAAUUUUAUACUUUACGNAUUUUUUAUUAUAAAAUUUAAAAUAUAUAAAUAAUUGUUAAAUAGUUUAGACUAUUGGUAUUAAAUGUAAAUGUUAAUUUUAUAAUAUUGAGAAUUCUAAUAUAAAUUGUAUAUUUAAAAAUUUAAAAACAAAGAUUGAUGAAAUUUAAGUUAAUUUUAUACUUUACGAAAGUUAGUUGUGAAAUCAUAUAAAAUAUAUUAACUUAGUACGCACUAGAUGCAAGAAAAGACUUUUCUUUUUAUUUCACUAACUAAUGGAAAACUAUCAUGCCUAUUAAAAAUUUUGAAUGUGCUCAUUGUACAAUUAAUUUUUUAGACACGUGGCUAUGUUUGAAAUAAUUAUUAUUGGGUAAUUUUUUUUGUACCUCUCAAAAUAUUAGCAAUAUCAUAGAUAACCUUACAAAAUUAGUAACAUCAAAGCAAACAAAACAGAACAAAAUGAGAAAAUAUUUAAUAAAGUUGAAGAAUUAUUUCAAAAUAGUUUAUUAUUGAGAGAACUCCUUAUAUUUUUUAUAUUAGAAAAGAUAGUUAUAUUUAUUUAAAAUUAUUUUAUAAUUUAUCCGUAAUAUUUUAUAAUUAUUUUAAAAUUAAUUUUUAUAAUUUAAUUUUAAAGAUUGAAUUUUAAAGUAACAAUCCUCAACAUC